rnacentral:rRNA from 1 species
UACGAAGGACCCGAGCAUUAUCCGGAUUUAUUGGGUUUAAAGGGUGCGUAGGCGGAUUGAUAAGUCAGUGGUGAAAGCCCGUCGCUUAACGGCGGAACUGCCAUUGAUACUGUCAGUCUUGAGUAUGGUUGAGGUGGGCGGAAUGUGUCAUGUAGCGGUGAAAUGCUUAGAUAUGACACAGAACACCAAUUGCGAAGGCAGCUCGCUAAACCAUAACUGACGCUGAUGCACGAAAGCGUGGGGAGCAAACAGG